GAUUAACGCUGGCGGCGUGCAUAACACAUGCGAGUCGAACGAUGAAACUUAACUGAUUUCUUCGGAAUGAUUUUAAGUGGAUUAGUGGCGGACGGGUGAGUAACGCGUGAGUAACCUGCCUUGGAGAAGGGGAUAGCCUUUGGAAACGAAGAAUAAUACCCUAUGAUAUGAUAAUAUCUCAUGAUAUUAUCAUCAAAGAUUUAUCGCUCUAAGAUGGACUUGCGUCUGAUUAGUUAGUUGGUGAGGUAACAGCUCACCAAGGCAGCGAUCAGUAGCCGGCUUGAGAGGGGGUACGGCCACAUUGGGACUGGCACACGGCCCAACCCCCUAGGGGGGGGAGGAGUGGGGAAUUUUGCACAAUGGGGGAAACCCGGAUGCCGCGGCGCCGGUUGAUGUAGAAGGGCUUGGGGUUUUAAAAAUCUUUUGUAUGGGAAGAAAAGGACGGUACCAUACAAAAAAGGACCGGCUAAUUACGG
rnacentral:rRNA from 1 species